UGUUGUGGAAAACUAUAGCUUCCCGCCAUGGCGUCAUCUAUUUUUGUUUAUAAUCCCGCCGACUGUGUGAAGUGUUGGAAUUGAAAUGAUGUGGCUGACGGUAGCUAUGGCGCUGGCGGCAAGUAUCCAAAAUGAAAACAAAAAUUCGAUAUAAGUAUUUUUUGAUGUUCCACGAAGAGGCAGAGCAAAGAAAACAAAAACCGAAACUAAUCUAGAGCAAUGGCUGUGUUAUUGCUGUUAUUGUUGCUGGCUGCUGACAAGUGCAUUUUGUUCCGAUCUCUGUUGAAACAGAUGUCCAUUUCAAUUAUAAGAAAAAUUUCGCCAUCACCCAGCCCCACCACCGCCCAAUUCGCCAUAAUAAUGUUGCAAUAAUUUCAAACGUCACUAAAUAAAUUACAACAGCAGCCGGCUGGCCAGCCGGUCAUAAAAUUCGAAAAGAAUGGGUAAUCUAUCCACCCACCCAACCACCCACUCCACAGCCAGGCAUUCUAUAGCCACAAUUCUCCCUCUAUUGUCAUCAAAAUUAAUGAAUGAAAUUGUACUUUGUCGCAAAUUUGAAUGGGCGCAAAAUUUCCCUUCCGGGAGGACAAGCAAAUUGUCGAACAGAUUUACAAUUACAGUAAAUUACAAUAUAACAGUUACAAUUUGAAUUGAUAUAUAAACAUGUGUCCCGACACACUCAUACAUACA